rnacentral:rRNA from 1 species
GGGGGGGCAGCUACACAUGCAGUCGAGCGGAACGAGUUAUCUGAACCUUCGGGGAACGAUAACGGCGUCGAGCGGCGGACGGGUGAGUAAUGCCUAGGAAAUUGCCCUGAUGUGGGGGAUAACCAUUGGAAACGAUGGCUAAUACCGCAUGAUGCCUACGGGCCAAAGAGGGGGACCUUCGGGCCUCUCGCGUCAGGAUAUGCCUAGGUGGGAUUAGCUAGUUGGUGAGGUAAGGGCUCACCAAGGCGACGAUCCCUAGCUGGUCUGAGAGGAUGAUCAGCCACACUGGAACUGAGACACGGUCCAGACUCCUACGGGAGGCAGCAGUGGGGAAUAUUGCACAAUGGGCGCAAGCCUGAUGCAGCCAUGCCGCGUGUGUGAAGAAGGCCUUCGGGUUGUAAAGCACUUUCAGUCGUGAGGAAGGUAGUGUAGUUAAUAGCUGCAUUAUUUGACGUUAGCGACAGAAGAAGCACCGGCUAACUCCGUGCCAGCAGCCGCGGUAAUACGGAGGGUGCGAGCGUUAAUCGGAAUUACUGGGCGUAAAGCGCAUGCAGGUGGUUUGUUAAGUCAGAUGUGAAAGCCCGGGGCUCAACCUCGGAAUAGCAUUUGAAACUGGCAGACUAGAGUACUGUAGAGGGGGGUAGAAUUUCAGGUGUAGCGGUGAAAUGCGUAGAGAUCUGAAGGAAUACCGGUGGCGAAGGCGGCCCCCUGGACAGAUACUGACACUCAGAUGCGAAAGCGUGGGGAGCAAACAGGAUUAGAUACCCUGGUAGUCCACGCCGUAAACGAUGUCUACUUGGAGGUUGUGGCCUUGAGCCGUGGCUUUCGGAGCUAACGCGUUAAGUAGACCGCCUGGGGAGUACGGUCGCAAGAUUAAAACUCAAAUGAAUUGACGGGGGCCCGCACAAGCGGUGGAGCAUGUGGUUUAAUUCGAUGCAACGCGAAGAACCUUACCUACUCUUGACAUCCAGAGAACUUUCCAGAGAUGGAUUGGUGCCUUCGGGAACUCUGAGACAGGUGCUGCAUGGCUGUCGUCAGCUCGUGUUGUGAAAUGUUGGGUUAAGUCCCGCAACGAGCGCAACCCUUAUCCCUUGUUUGCCAGCGAGUAAUGUCGGGACUCCAGGAGACUGCCGUGAUAAACCGGAGAGGUGGGGGACGACGUCAAGUCAUCAUGGCCCUUUA